AGAGUUUGAUCCUGGCUCAGGAGGAACGCUGGCGGCGUGCCUAACACAUGCAAGUCGAGCGAGAAGUAAGUUAACAGAGAUUUCGGUCAAAGUAAAUUUAUGGAAAGCGGCGGACGGGUGAGUAACGCGUAGGCAACCUGCCCUUUGCACAGGGAUAGCCUCGGGAAACCGGGAUUAAAACCUGAUAAUGCCGAGAAAACACAUGUUUGCUCGGUCAAAUAUUUAUAGGCAAAGGAUGGGCCUGCGUCUGAUUAGCUAGUUGGUGAGGUAACGGCUCACCAAGGCGACGAUCAGUAGCCGACCUGAGAGGGUAAACGGCCACAUUGGAACUGAGACACGGUCCAAACUCCUACGGGAGGCAGCAGUGGGGAAUAUUGCACAAUGGGCGAAAGCCUGAUGCAGCAACGCCGCGUGAGCGAGGAAGGCCUUUGGGUCGUAAAGCUCUGUUGAGAGGGAAGAAAAAAUGACGGUACCUCUUGAGGAAGCCCCGGCUAACUACGUGCCAGCAGCCGCGGU
rnacentral:rRNA from 1 species